AGAGUUUGAUCCUGGCUCAGAACGAACGCUGGCGGCGUGGAUAAGACAUGCAAGUCGGACGAGAUUUUUCGCUGUAGCAAUACAGUGGAAAGUCUAGUGGCGAACGGGUGCUUAACACGUGGGCAACCUGCCGAGAAGUGGGGGAUAGCUCGCCGAAAGGCGAAUUAAUACCGCAUGUGAUCAGGAUGGACAUCCAUUCGAAAUUAAAGGUGGCGCAAGCUACCGCUUCUUGAGGGGCCCGCGGCCUAUCAGCUUGUUGGUGAGGUAAUGGCUCACCAAGGCGGUGACGGGUAGCUGGUCUGAGAGGACGACCAGCCACACUGGGACUGAGACACGGCCCAGACACCUACGGGUGGCAGCAGUCGAGAAUUUUUCUCAAUGGGGGAAACCCUGAUGGAGCGACGCCGCGUGGAGGAUGAAGGUCUUCGGAUUGUAAACUCCUGUCAUUGGGGAACAAUGGUUACGCGUUAACUGCGCGUGGCUUGAUAGUACUCGAAGAGGAAGAGACGGCUAACUCUGUGCCAGCAGCCGCGGUAAUACAGAGGUCUCAAGCGUUGUUCGGAUUCAUUGGGCGUAAAGGGUGCGUAGGCGGCGCGGUAAGUCGGAUGUGAAAUCUCGGAGCUUAACUCCGAAACUGCAUUUGAUACUGCCGUGCUUGAGGACUGGAGAGGAGACUGGAAUUCUCGGUGUAGCGGUGAAAUGCGUAGAUAUCGAGAGGAACACCCGUGGCGAAGGCGGGUCUCUGGACAGUUCCUGACGCUGAGGCACGAAGGCCAGGGGAGCAAACGGGAUUAGAUACCCCGGUAGUCCUGGCAGUAAACGGUGCACGUUUGGUGUGGGAGGAUUCGACCCCUUCUGCGCCGGAGCUAACGCGUUAAACGUGCCGCCUGGGGAGUACGGUCGCAAGAUUAAAACUCAAAGAAAUUGACGGGGGCCCGCACAAGCGGUGGAGUAUGUGGCUCAAUUCGAUGCAACGCGAAGAACCUUACCUGGCCUUGACAUGCAUUGCUAAGCAGGUGAAAGCCUGCGACUGGAGCAAUCCAGACCUUGCACAGGUGCUGCAUGGCUGUCGUCAGCUCGUGUCGUGAGAUGUUGGGUUAAACCGU
rnacentral:rRNA from 1 species